GGGGAAUAUUGCGCAAUGGGCGAAAGCCUGACGCAGCCACGCCGCGUGAGCGAUGAAGGCCUUCGGGUCGUAAAGCUCUGUGGGGAGAGACGAAGAAAGCCUGUGAAGAGCAGGCCUUGACGGUAUCUCCUUAGCAAGCACCGGCUAACUCCGUGCCAGCAGCCGCGGUAAUACGGAGGGUGCGAACGUUGCUCGGAAUCAUUGGGCGUAAAGCGCACGUAGGCGGCGGCGUAAGCGGGAUGUGAAAGCCCAGGGCUCAACCCUGGAAGUGCAUCCCGAACUGUGUCGCUUGAAUCUCGGAGGGGGACAGAGAAUUCCCGGUGUAGAGGUGAAAUUCGUAGAUAUCGGGAGGAAUACCAGUGGCGAAGGCGCUGUCCUGGACGAAGAUUGACGCUGAGGUGCGAAAGCGUGGGGAGCAAAC
rnacentral:rRNA from 1 species